rnacentral:rRNA from 1 species
GACGAACGCUGGCGGCGUGCUUAACACAUGCAAGUCGAACGAUGAAGUUCCUUCGGGAAUGGAUUAGUGGCGAACGGGUGAGGAACACGUGAGAAACCUGCCUUUCAUUUUGGGAUAACUCCGGGAAAACGGGGCUAAAACCGAAUACUCCGUCUCGGCGGCAUCGCCGAGCCGGGAAAAAAUUUUGAUGAAAGAUGGUCUCGAGGCCGAUCAGCUAGUUGGUGAGGUAAUGGCUCACCAAGGCAACGACGGGUAGCCGGCCUGCGAGGGCGACCGGCCACACUGGGACUGAGACACGGCCCAGACUCCUACGGGAGGCAGCAGUGGGGAAUAUUGGGCAAUGGGCGCAAGCCUGACCCAGCGACGCCGCGUGAGGGAUGAAGGCCUUCGGGUUGUAAACCUCUUUCAGUAGGGAAGAAGCGAAAGUGACGGUACCUAAAGAAGAAGCACCGGCUAACUAUGUGCCAGCCGCCGCGGUAA